AGAGUUUGAUCCUGGCUCAGGACGAACGCUGGCGGCGUGCUUAACACAUGCAAGUCGAACGGAAAGGCCCUUCGGGGUACUCGAGUGGCGAACGGGUGAGUAACACGUGGGUGAUCUGCCCUGCACUCUGGGAUAAGCCUGGGAAACUGGGUCUAAUACCGGAUAGGACCGCAUGCUUCAUGGUGUGUGGUGCAAAGCUUUUGCGGUGUGGGAUGAGCCCGCGGCCUAUCAGCUUGUUGGUGGGGUAAUGGCCUACCAAGGCGACGACGGGUAGCCGGCCUGAGAGGGUGACCGGCCACACUGGGACUGAGAUACGGCCCAGACUCCUACGGGAGGCAGCAGUGGGGAAUAUUGCACAAUGGGCGCAAGCCUGAUGCAGCGACGCCGCGUGAGGGAUGACGGCCUUCGGGUUGUAAACCUCUUUCAGUAGGGACGAAGCGAAAGUGACGGUACCUACAGAAGAAGGACCGGCCAACUACGUGCCAGCAGCCGCGGUAAUACGUAGGGUCCGAGCGUUGUCCGGAAUUACUGGGCGUAAAGAGCUCGUAGGUGGUUUGUCGCGUUGUUCGUGAAAACUCACAGCUUAACUGUGGGCGUGCGGGCGAUACGGGCAGACUAGAGUACUGCAGGGGAGACUGGAAUUCCUGGUGUAGCGGUGGAAUGCGCAGAUAUCAGGAGGAACACCGGUGGCGAAGGCGGGUCUCUGGGCAGUAACUGACGCUGAGGAGCGAAAGCGUGGGUAGCGAACAGGAUUAGAUACCCUGGUAGUCCCA
rnacentral:rRNA from 1 species